rnacentral:tRNA from 1 species
CGUUCUAUGUCCAAAUUGGUAAAGGCAUCGCCGAUCACAGGCGAGGUUGUGGGUUCGAGUCCCGCUGGAACGA